GCUUCUCGCGCGGCGUUAUCUCGUGAACCUCCCCAGGGCCGGAAGGCAGCAAGGAUAAGCGGGCUCUGGCGGGUGCGCGAGGAGUUUUU
rnacentral:SRP_RNA from 1 species